GAUUGUUUAGUUUAUCUAAAAUAGAUAUUUUGAAAGUAUCAGAAAAGAAAAAAAGUCUUAACAAUCU
rnacentral:tRNA from 1 species